GGAGUUGGGCCGCUCUUAUC
rnacentral:misc_RNA from 1 species